rnacentral:snRNA from 1 species
CACUUUGCACAGUGGCAGUAUCGUAGCCAAUGAGGUUAAUCCGAAGCAUGAUUAUUGCUAAUUGAAAACUUUUCCCAAUACGCCACCAUGACGCCUUGAAAUAUAGCCAGCAAUGGCAAUUUUUAACAGUCUCUAGUGC